GGGUUGGUAAAUUGCUCCCUCUGUAGAGAGGGAGCACCACCACUGACUAAAUUGCUUCCUCUGCACCUAGAAAAAGGGAAAAUGCAAGACAAUAUUUGUCCAAUGAAAGACAAUAUGGGUUUAGCACCAAGCUCAAGUCUGUCAUGUUUCCAACCAUACUUGUGAAGUCAGGGAGCAAUUUAACGAACCCUUCAGCUCUCCAAAUCAGUCCAUACUGUAUUUUUACAUGGAGAGAGUGAAGAUUGCAGAGUGGAGGUUCCUUAAGAAAGGGGUUCUUAGAAAACUCUGUUUUAAACUCUGAGAAUUCUCAGCUGGGAAAUUCGGUACACUUUGGCUUAAGUAUAUUACAGUUUGGAGCGGAUCUAUCGUUUUUGUUUCUGUAAGAUCCUCCAAUUUGGCUGAUGAGUGGACGACUAAAUGUUUACUGCAGUGAGUGUCCAAUGACGAAGAUGAUGCUUAUCCACAGAAAUGGAUUGAUAUGACAACAAUGGCAAUGUCAUUCUCAACCUUCCUUAAUAAUAUGGAUAAGCAUCCACAGCACUUUUCCUU